AACGAACGCUGGCGGCAGGCUUAACACAUGCAAGUCGAGCGCCCCGCAAGGGGAGCGGCAGACGGGUGAGUAACGCGUGGGAAUCUACCCAUCUCUACGGAAUAACGCAUGGAAACGUGUGCUAAUACCGUAUACGUCCUUCUGGAGAAAGAUUUAUCGGAGAUGGAUGAGCCCGCGUUGGAUUAGCUAGUUGGUGGGGUAAAGGCCUACCAAGGGGACGAUCCAUAGCUGGUCUGAGAGGAUGAUCAGCCACACGGGGCCUGAGACACGGCCCAGACUCCUACGGGAGGCAGCAGUGGGGAAUAUUGGACAAUGGGCGCAAGCCUGAUCCAGCCAUGCCGCGUGAGUGAUGAAGGCCCUAGGGUUGUAAAGCUCUUUCACCGGUGAAGAUAAUGACGGUAACCGGAGAAGAAGCCCCGGCUAACUUCGUGCCAGCCGCCGCAGUAAUAC
rnacentral:rRNA from 1 species